UACGUAGGGGGCUAGCGUUGUCCGGAAUCAUUGGGCGUAAAGAGCGUGUAGGCGGCCCGGUAAGUCCGCUGUGAAAGUCGGGGGCUCAACCCUCGAAUGCCGGUGGAUACUGUCGGGCUAGAGUGCGGAAGAGGCGAGUGGAAUUCCUGGUGUAGCGGUGAAAUGCGUAGAUAUCGUAAGGAAGACCAGUGGCGAAGGCGGGUCUCUGGACAGUUCCUGACGCUGAGGCACGAAGGUCAGGGAGGCAAACCGGGAUUAGAAAGCCU
rnacentral:rRNA from 1 species